GAAAGCUUCAAAGUAAGACGACAGUGCCGAAGUUCUUAAAAUAGCACAAGCCCUAGGCAUUUUCGACCCCGCCACCUGGCAGAAGACAAGCCAAUUCGGAAUUCGCCCAUCCCUCUUCCUAUAUCCAGCCUCAAAACGAUGAAAAGCGGCUUUUCAAAACAGAAUCGGCCAAUCAAGGAAAACUAAAGACACAUACUAGUGAAAAUUAAAGUUUUAAGGCUUAUUCAGGUCUAAAAAACCUUAAGAUAAAUGUAUUAGAAAAAAAAGGUUUGAAAAAGAUAAGUUUAUUUACUUGAUUAGAUGUACAGAGCGUUUUUUUUAUAAAUACGCUGGAAAAAAAUAUCACUUGAGAUGAAACGAACACCUCUUCCUUGUUAUAUGAGAUUAAAUCACGAACGUGACUCAAAAGUGGAAUUAAAAAAGCAAACAUAAGAAAUCAAUAUUCCUGAGUUGAAAAGCAACCACCUAAUAAUACGGUGUUUCAUAU